GCCUUUGGAGACAUUUAGAAGAACAAUACCCAAGAAAUCUUUGUGUAAAGAGCAGACCAGGCAGCUGAAGAGACGCCACAGGAUUUCAGAGGAUCACCACAUCUUUGCAAGUCCUUCAGCUGAACAAGCCCACCUUUUGAACAGUUGAAUCCAGGCUUGAUACAUCAACCAAACUUCAGAGGAGUUGUUCUUGCCUCACACCAAUGUUGAGACGAAAGAGAAGCAAGUUAUUCAUGUUUUAAUGUUGUUUUGUGCCAGAUGUUUUGCUGGUAGAAAUCCAUAGCUCCACAGGCACCCAUUUCUUCAGGAUCUGGAAUGUCUGACACAAUUUCUGUCUCCAUUCUGGACGGUCUGUGAAGGAAGCUGCUUUAUUUUGCAAUAUUGAAUAUUCAUGCUGGGAAGUUAUAAGGAAAAACAAAAUAAUGAGAGACAGGGUCUCUAAUAAGCUUCCUGUCACAUGAGGCUCUGGUUCUGGUGAAGCAGAUGUGGUUGCUGACUUGUUUCCAAAAUGUUUGUGGAGUGGUGAUUAGAUUCUGUCAUACUGAUGUUAUAUCUCUGUGAUCUCAUUCAAUACAAGUAGUUCUGCAAACAGUGAAAUAUUUUUUUCCUACGGAUUUAUAUCUUGGAUUGUGUUUCUGCAUAAAUUCUCUGAUGUUUAAUGGGGAUUGAGUUCAUUUUAGCCUGUUUCUUCAAUGAGAGAUGAGUAAUCUGUCUUGACUUGGCUGCCUACUUUCACAAAACUUGCAGGAAUUAAAUAUCACAAGUAUUUAAAAUUCGAGUGGGAAUUAUGAACCAGUUCCAGAGUUAUUUGGAGCCAACUCAUAUAAACAAACAUAAACAUGAGUCUCAUUUUCUUUACAAAAGCAACAGGUAAGAAGCAAUCUUUUAUUACUUCGUCCUUCUAUUUUACCUGCUUGAUUCUAUUUUUUUAUUAGUGAUCAAUCAUAUAAGAUAUGCUUUAUUUAUAAAGCUGUGUGAAAUAUGAGACUUGUUUGCCACACUGAAUAGAUAUAAAACCAUCAUUAAUUUAUACUUAUUAUGGGCCACACAAGAGAUGACAUUGCUUUUUAUUGUCCUUGCCGGAGCAGGGGAAAGAGGUGACAUGGAUUUUAACUUACAUGUUUGCACAGGCAAGUGCAGAGAAAGAACAUUAUUUUUCCUUUAGAAUUCUCACAGUUCUGGUUUGGAAAGGGAGAAAGGAAACCUAGAAUUGAAAAUGAUCUUUUGUGUUGCUGAGUCCAGUCUUCUGCUUCUGCAGAGAGCCAAGUUCCCAGUCUUUUUCAUAAAACAGGAUGUGCUAUUCAAAAAUAUGCUCCUUUCUCUUUGUCAUCCCUCCUAUCCUCCCAGUUUCCCACUUUCUUUGGGUGUUUGCUCCAGAAUUUACUUCCUUUGAUAGGAAGAAACCCUUUAAUUUCCAUAAUCAGUUUAUGCAUGUUUGCUCUUGUUCUGUGUUGUUCUAUGUUCUUGUUCUUCUUUCCUAAAAAGUUCAUUCCUGUAGGUAGCCAUGUCUGUAUAGGGAAUAAGGAAAGAAGACCCUUCCAAGAGGACAGAAAAUCUACACAAAUCUGUUGGAAACGAGGCUUCAACAGCACUUAGCAUAAAAUGUUUGUAUGUCUAAUACUCCCAGGUUUUUCUGGGACUGGCAAAUGAAUUAUUUAGCAAUGGAAACUGCACAUGCAUCUGCUUGGCUUCUGUGGGUUCAUGUUAUAGAAAACUGUAGGAGCGUUGCAGAGAUCACAACUACCCAACUUUGUGUCAUAGACCCUGUGUCUUCACAGGCCUCAGAAAUUCCCACUUAGCUGAGUAGAGGAGAACAGAGUGGCAAGUCUCUGCUUUUAUUGCUAAUGCUUUGUAAAAUAACCUUUAUGGUCUGUAGGUUCAGUCCUGUGCAGGUCUGUGUGACUUAGGAUUUAUUACACUGCAUUUCAUAUUUGUGCAUCUCUCUCCAGUUCCUGUAGAGGAAAGAAAUGAAAGGUCUAAAAGGUUAGCUUGGUGUUAAUAGAUCGAGAUAUACCCAAUAUUUAACUUCCCUGGACAAAGGAACUGCUUCAAGGGCUGGCUUGUCCUGUUACAGUGUGACAGUGUCAGCCCUGUGUGCUGCAAACCUUCACCCAACCUUAGAAAUAAAAAAUAAAAAAGCCAAGUGUCUGCUCAAUGGAAAACAGAUGGAGUUUUCAUUAGACAUUACUUUUAAUGAUCUGCUUUAAAAGUAAAGAUACACCAUUCCAAGCAGAAGAAGGGCCUCCUAAUAGCUCUGUUUGGGUCCCAGGCUCAUUAUCUGAGCUACAGAUAAGCAAGAUUGCAAGACCUUUGAAUCAUUGGAACCUCCAGUUAAGCUUGCCGACCAUUAUUAGAAUUCCAAACACAGCAGAACUAUUUUGGAGCCUUACCAAUAUUUUUUCCUGAAGAUGUAUCUUUAUUUAAUGAUUCAGAGUUAUUAUGAUGGGCCUGGCAGUCAGUUGCUCGGUUUCUGGAGUAUUACCAUUUAACCUAGGUCAGGAUAAAAAUCUGGGAAUAUUCAUUGCAGGGCAGACCUUUUGCAUCUUUGAGGGCCUGUUCUUCACAGUCCACCUUGGUGUGACUCCCCCAAAUGGUGUUGCUGGCUGUGAGAGGUGACCCCAGCAGUCUAGAAAGCCUGAAGAUCCUUCCUAAAAAGAUAAAGCCUGCAUUCUGUGCCUGUAGGUACUAAAUCAACUUUUGGCAUGUGAAGAACAAUGCAAUCCCAGGGUUUUAGGCAUAGAUGGCUGCUGCCAAACCACAAGAAAUGCUUUUGUCUGGAACUCAUGGAGCAGUAACAUAGCAAUGGAGGGUGUACCCUUGUCUGUUAUUCCCUCUGAGCAAAUUCUCAGAGACAUGUUACCAGGAUUCAGAUAGAUUUCAUGGAACUAGGAGAGAAAUGGGCUUUAAUUUUCUUAUAAAGGGAGGAAGAGACAAUAGAACUCAGCAAAACAUGUGGCAAGUUUUGUUUCUGUCUGAGAGUUAUGCAAGCAAAAGCCAGUGCCCAUCCUCAGACAGCACUCUCCCAAGUGAGACUCACGUGAGGGAACUUGUGUUACUUUUCUUCUUAAAGCCUUCAAAAUUGCUUUAUUUCCUCUGCAUAUGUGUAAAUACAGCCUAUGUCUUCAACUGAUCUCCAGCUGGUGAGUAUGAGUCAGAAUCCAAACUUCUCAAAGUUCAAGGAAAUUUAGAGCUGAUGUUCUGGUUCACUGUCACCUCUGUAGAAAAAUACCUGCAUGAAUAAUGAGAAAUAAGCCUCUUGUUUUCAUAAGAGGGACCAGAAGGAUCAAGUUCAGCAAAAGUCUAUCACAAACUGUUAAUUAAGCACUGUUCUGAAACCAGGUUUUUCCCACUCUGUUAGAAACCUUCUUCAAUUUCCAGACUAGAGUUAUUAGUGGCUGCUUUGUUCACAUAUAUUAAUGUGCCAAAGCUGUCUUUUAGUUUAGAUUAUACACAAACAGAAUGUGAGUAUUAGGUUUCCUCUGCUUUUUGUCUCUUUCAGGGCAAAAGAAAAAGAAGAGCUUAAAUACAAGGUCACCUUGUGUUCAAGGUCCAGUUACUUCCUCACACAAUUGAAGGGUGGGGGGAGAACAAGCAAAAGGAGCAGAUGACAAAGAUGACAAGAGGGCUUUAUAUUUAGAAAUCAAGCAAAUGCCUUCUCUCCCUGUGUUACUAGAGUGUCUUGGGAUCCAGUUUUUGAGAAAAUGUGUUUAUUCUCUUUCAUUGUACCCCUAUUUUAUGCCUUCAACUUGGAGCAUAGAUAUGCUCCUCCCCUUGUUCUCCUUAUAUGUCCCAGUUUACGUACUCCGCCCUUGCUCCUUCCCAAUUGCUCCCCUUGUUCCAGCAAGUUCUGCUCCUGCCCCAUAAAAGGCAGGAGCCACGUUAAUAAAGUGUUCCAUUUUGCACCCUACAUCGAAGUGUGCGAGCCCUCGUUCCUCUCGGGCUGUCGAGGACGCCGAGAGAGCCUGUUUGCCACAAGAGUGAAAAAACAAUACAAUUGUUUCUUUCUUCUUGUCUCAUUGAGUGGCCUUUGCCUGGUUUAGUGUAGCUUUGUGAGCGUGG